CAUAGCCCAGCACUGCUCUAACCCACUGCCCAGUAGUGACCUCAUCCCCCCAGUUGUGAUUUAAUGACUCUAUUUGUUCCCCCACCCAUCCUCAGGAGGUAGCAGGGCUCUUAAAGCCUCUCUGCCCUAUUCGAGGAGUGGUGAGGUACGAACAAGAACCUGGAGAGGACAUUUUCCUUUAAAAAAAGGCACCGUGCUUUAGGCAUGGAUGUCAUUAACUGGCAAUUUCAUAAGCAUUAAGUGCUAAAACAAAAGAACCCAAAUAGGAGCCAUAUGGUCGAGGGCCCCCAUCUUCCCUGAAGUGCCCGACUGAAGCCAGAGGAUGUCCAAGCUCCCACUUUCACUUACUCUUGGAUAUGAGGAGAAGCAGACCCGGGGCAAUGCCAGGCAGAGAGCUGCUGCCCCUGCAGUCCUGCCCUGAGCACCCCAGCACCAAGCUCUGCUCUGCAGGCACUCUGCUGGGACAGCACGUGCCAGCAGCCUCACCUCUCCCUGCCCUCCACUUCAUCACCCAGCUGCUCUUCCCAGCUUUUUGUGCCUCAGUGACCUCUGCUGAAAGGAUCGCGGCCACUAUUAAUCACUAUCGAGGAGUUGGAGUAACAGCUAUGGGAGUAUAAAGUCUGUUGUUGCAAAACUUA